rnacentral:rRNA from 1 species
UAAGUCGGUGGUGAAAUCCUGCAGCUCAACUGUAGAACUGCCAUUGAAACUGUGAGUCUUGAAUUAAUUUGAAGUUGGCGGAAUGAGUAGUGUAGCGGUGAAAUGCAUAGAUAUUACUCAGAACACCGAUUGCGAAGGCAGCUGACUAAGAUUAUAUUGACGCUGAUGGACGAAAGCGUAGGUAGCGAACAGGAUUAGAUACCCUGGUAGUCUACGCAGUAAACGAUGGAUACUAGUUGUCGGGAAAUUGAGACUCGGUGGCUAAGCGAAAGUGAUAAGUAUCCCACCUGGGGAGUACGAUCGCAAGAUUGAAACUCAAAGGAAUUGACGGGGGCCCGCACAAGCGGUGGAGCAUGUGGUUUAAUUCGAUGAUACGCGAGGAACCUUACC